GGGCCUGUAGCUCAGCUGAACCCUUUGAUAUAGGUUCAACACACGCCACAGGGUUUCAUUCCAAAGGCGUGAGAUUAAACUAUGACAAAGGGAUCUGGAUAGGUUAGAGCGACGGUCUUAUAAGCCGUAGGUCCGGAGUUCAAAUCUCCGCAGGCCCA
rnacentral:tRNA from 1 species